rnacentral:pre_miRNA from 14 species
GAAUCGAUGGGAUCGGACCUGCCCUGAUUUUCACCCGGUGAUAAUCAUUCUAGAAAUAUCACCGAAGCUAAAACCAGUGGAGGUCCGAUCCGACCG